AGGGGCCCAAUGAGACACACCAGGAAGUACGGUAAUUACGGAUAUUCAUAAAGUAUUUCUCAGUUUUUAUGGUGGAUAUCAGCAUGCCUAAUGUGAGCAAACUUCCUUGGGACAGAACAAAGCAGCAAACGACUACAGUGACAUACAGGGAUAUAUAUACAUGACUACAGUAUAUAUUGAGCACAUAUCUAUCUACUCAGUAGAGAAUUAUUCUGUACUUGUUUGUGCCAUUCCUCCUCCUAAGUCCACAAGUUUUGCUCUGAAAGGAGCCUGUGUUGGUUGUACUGCCCUUCAGAUAGGGAAGCACCUGGGGCACGUGAACUAGGCUGGCUUUACAGCUAGCUGGAGCAUUUCUCACCACAGUCAGUGAGGCAUGCUGAGGCUGUUCGUUGUGGCUGAAUACUGAAGGAAGUGGAUGCAGCAGACUACACUGCAAGUAUGCAUUGUAGCGGCCAGCAGGAAAAAGCAGAAACAUUUUCACAGAAAAUUUAUGGGGUAUUAGUAAUAUGAU
rnacentral:lncRNA from 1 species